rnacentral:rRNA from 1 species
GACCUCAAAUCAGGUAGGAUUACCCGCUGAACUUAAGCAUAUCAAUAAGCGGAGGAAAAGAAACCAACAGGGAUUGCCUUAGUAACGGCGAGUGAAGCGGCAAAAGCUCAAAUUUGAAAUCUGGCACCUUCGGUGUCCGAGUUGUAAUUUGAAGAAGGUAACUUUGGAGUUGGCUCUUGUCUAUGUUCCUUGGAACAGGACGUCACAGAGGGUGAGAAUCCCGUGCGAUGAGAUGCCCAAUUCUAUGUAAAGUGCUUUCGAAGAGUCGAGUUGUUUGGGAAUGCAGCUCUAAGUGGGUGGUAAAUUCCAUCUAAAGCUAAAUAUUGGCGAGAGACCGAUAGCGAACAAGUACAGUGAUGGAAAGAUGAAAAGAACUUUGAAAAGAGAGUGAAAAAGUACGUGAAAUUGUUGAAAGGGAAGCUCAUGCUGCCAGACUUGGCCGCGCCUCUUCGGUGGCGCGGGCAGGCCAGCAUCAGUUCGGGCGGCCUGAUAAAGACCUUUGGAAUGUAGCUCCUCGGAGUGUUAUAGCCUAGGGUGUAAUGGGGUCAGCCUGGACUGAGGAUCGCGUUCGCUAGGAUGCUGGCGUAAUGGCAGUAUGCGACCCGUCUUGUAACACGGACCAAGGAGUCUAACAUCUGUGCGAGUGUUUGGGUGUAAAACCCAUGCGCGUAAUGAAAGUGAACGGAGGUGGGAAGCGCAAGCUGCACCAUCGACCGAUCCUGAUGUCUUCGGAUGGAUUUGAGUAAGAGCAUAGCUGUUGGGACCCGAAAGAUGGUGAACUAUGCCUGAAUAGG